AAAAAAAACAAAUUUCACUUCACUCUCCCUCCAAAAACGUCCUCCGGCACGGCGAUUCUUCCGUUUUCCCGCAGCACUCCUCCGGUCUUCCCCGUUUUAUUCUCUGAGAACGGUACAUCCAACCGCUUCGAUCUUGUUCUACUCUUCCCUCCAAAAUCGAUUUCCUCCGGAGCUGCGAUUUUUUCUGUUCUCCCGUACAUCUCCUCCGGUCUAGCUCCGUCCUGUCGUUGUCGCGUGGGUUUUUUUCUCUCACAGCGUUUCAUUCAACCAAAACUGCUCCCCGUCCUGUGACUAAAAGAACUGCUACCAGCACGGCAACGAUAGGCGAUAGCAAGGAGUUCAUAUAGAGAAAGAAGAGGGCGGAGACGUUCAAAACCCUAAUUUUAUUCAAAAGAUUUUUUGUCUGAAGAGUUUGGAGUGAUUUAGAAGGGAGGGGUGGAGCAGGGCUGGCCGCCCAUAGAUGCUCUUCAAAAUCUUAUCAAUGAGGCGAAAAUCCAAGCUGUGUGGUGGGAUCUCUGCAUAUUCGGAAUUUCCUAUUUUCUUUCUCGUGAGUGGAUUUAUUAUCUUUUGUUUUGCUGUUUUAUUUUUUGUUUUCCGUCGACUAAUUGGAUUGUUUUGUUUCAUUCACAAUUAUUGCUUUCCUCCUCUUCAAUCUUAAUCUCCAGUUUCCAGUCAUUUUCUUUUCUAUUUCUUCUUGGGUUUUGGCAGUUAAGCAAGUAAAAAUAGGUAAUUUUUUUAUGAAGUUGAAACUUACGAGUUAAGAAGAUAAAAUUUACGUUACCUGUUCUGAAAUUAGAGAUUAUAGUGGAAGCCUACUGAUUUUUUAUCACUCCCUUCUACUUCUCCUAAUAUUUUUAUAUUAAUAGAUGUUUAACAAGCAUUUUCUGAUGAGGAUUAAUACUGGAUGUCAUUGAUGAAAUAUCA
rnacentral:lncRNA from 1 species